rnacentral:lncRNA from 1 species
AAUAACAACACCAAAGGUCUAGAAUUUCACCAAAAAAAUAAAGCUUUAAGCACAUCUAAAGAAAGAAAUAACUGAAAGACGACCAAGGCCGAAAAUAGACAAAAUAGGGAAAAUAAAAAUAGAGAUAGAUAGACAUUGUAACUUCAAAACUUCGAACAUCUUACCCUCACAAUGAAUUUCAAACUUUGAAUCUUUCUCCUUCCUUCUUUGGCUUUAGACGAUCGGCUAUUCCUAUAAAUUUUAAAGUGGGUCAAAGAAAUUUAAGGUAAAAGAGUUACAAUUCACAAUGUGCGUUUAGGGCUUUUGAGUUGUCUCUACCGAGAGGUUCACAUGUUGUGAUUUGAGCGAUUUGAGAGAUUGUGAGAUGUUUGAGCAGAGAAAAUAUUGAGAAUUUUAUGGAAAAGAAACACAGUAAAGAACUACUAUUGGAGCAAAGAAAACUAGCGAAGAGAGCAUUUUAUG